AUUGUUGAUACCCUUUACUGUCACUACUUACUGAGAACCUUGCAUUGCUGAAUUAAAGAUGACACUUCUAGUUCAAUCACAAACAAUUUGGCAUGAACCAUGCUACCACCCUAUGGCGUUAAGAGCAGCUGACCAACUUGGUUCGCAUGAGCGAAGGAUAGCUCUGGUAAGUUUGUUCAGUCAUUUAUGGAAGCUGAGAACUU